GUGAGGUAUUAGUAAAAAUUACAUAACUUUGUCAAAGUUAAAUUAUGGGUGGGACCCCCAUAUACCCCU
rnacentral:tRNA from 1 species